UGUUAAAAAUUUUAUCCAUUUGUACGGUUAAAAAUCGAUGUGGCUGAUGAAAUAACCAUACAAUAACACGUGGUAUAGGGACCAGUUCUUAAUAGUAAAAAUAGAUGAAAUUUUUAACA
rfam:Gossypium raimondii Chr05_contig_1231, whole genome shotgun sequence.